rnacentral:rRNA from 1 species
UACGUAGGGGGCAAGCGUUGUCCGGAAUCAUUGGGCGUAAAGAGCGCGUAGGCGGCCCAGUAAGUCCGCUCUGAAAGUCAGGGGCUCAACCCCGGGAUGCGGGUGGAUACUGCUGGGCUAGAGUCCGGAAGAGGUGAGUGGAAUUCCUGGUGUAGCGGUGAAAUGCGCAGAUAUCAGGAGGAACACCGGUGGCGAAGGCGGGUCUCUGGGCCGAUACUGACGCUGAGGCGCGAAAGCCAGGGGAGCGAACGGG